rnacentral:rRNA from 1 species
GAUGAACGCUGGCGGCGUGCCUAAUACAUGCAAGUCGAGCGAACGGACGAGAAUCUUGCUUCUCUUAUGUUAGCGGCGGACGGGUGAGUAACACGUGGAUAACCUACCUAUAAGACUGGGAUAACUUCGGGAAACCGGAUCUAAUACCGGAUGAUAUUUUGAACCGCAUGGUUCAAAAGUGAUAGACGGUCUUGCUGUCACUAAUAGAUGGUUCCGCGCUGCAUUAGCUAGUUGGUAAGGUAACGGCUUACCAAGGCGACGAUGCAUAGCCGACCUGAGAGGGUGAUCGGCCACACUGGAACUGAGACACGGUACAGACUCCUACGGGAGGCAGCAGUAGGGAAUGUUACGCAAUGGGCGAAAGCCUGACGGGGCAACGCCGCGUGAGUGAUGAAGGUCUUCGGAUCGUAAAACUCUGUUAUUAGGGGAGAACAUAUGUGUAAGUAACUGUGGACGUCUUGACGGUACCUAAUCAGAAAGCCACGGCUAACUACGCG